UAAGAGAGUUUGAUCCUGGCUCAGGAUGAACGCUGGCGGCGUGCCUAAUACAUGCAAGUCGAGCGAACAGACGAGGAGCUUGCUCCUUUGACGUUAGCGGCGGACGGGUGAGUAACACGUGGAUAACCUACCUAUAAGACUGGGAUAACUUCGGGAAACCGGAGCUAAUACCGGAUAAUAUUUCGAACCGCAUGGUUCGAUAGUGAAAGAUGGCUCUGCUAUCACUUAUAGAUGGACCUGCGCCGUAUUAGCUAGUUGGUAAGGUAACGGCUUACCAAGGCAACGAUACGUAGCCGACCUGAGAGGGUGAUCGGCCACACUGGAACUGAGACACGGUCCAGACUCCUAC
rnacentral:rRNA from 13 species